AAUAUUGCACAACGGGCGAAACCCUGAUGCAGCAACGCCGCGUGCGUGAUGAAGGCCUUCGGGUCCUGACGACCUUUAGGACGGAAAGAAAUCGCGCAGGCUAAUAUCCAGCGCGGAUGACGGCACCGUCGUAAGAAGCACCGGCUAAUAACUUGCCAGCAGCCGCGGGAAUCCGAAGGGUGCGAGCGUUAAUCGGAAUUACCGGGCGUAACGCGUGCGCAGGCGGUUGAUUAAGACAGGCGUGAAAUCCCCGGGCUUAACCUGGGAACUGCGCUUGUGACUGGUCAGCUAAAGUACGGCAGAGGGGGGUGGAAUUCCACGUGUAGCAGUGAAAUGCGUAGAGAUGUGGAGGAACACCGAUGGCGAAGGCAGCACCCUGGGCCGAUACUGACGCUCAUGCACGAAAGCGUGGGUAGCAAACAGG
rnacentral:rRNA from 1 species